rnacentral:rRNA from 1 species
UACUGGGCGUAAAGCGCGCGUAGGUGGCUUGAUAAGCCGGUUGUGAAAGCCCCGGGCUCAACCUGGGAACGGCAUCCGGAACUGUCAAGCUAGAGUACAGGAGAGGAAGGUAGAAUUCCCGGUGUAGCGGUGAAAUGCGUAGAGAUCGGGAGGAAUACCAGUGGCGAAGGCGGCCUUCUGGACUGAUACUGACACUGAGGUGCGAAAGCGUGGGUAGCAAACAGGAUUAGAUACCCUGGUAGUCCACGCCGUAAACGAUGUCGACCAGCCGUUGGGUGCCUAGCGCACUUUGUGGCGAAGUUAACGCGAUAAGUCGACCGCCUGGGGAGUACGGCCGCAAGGUUAAAACUCAAAUGAAUUGACGGGGGCCCGCACAAGCGGUGGAGCAUGUGGUUUAAUUCGAUGCAACGCGAAGAACCUUACCUACCCUUGACAUCCUGCGAACUUGGUAGAGAUACCUUGGUGCCUUCGGGAACGCAGAGACAGGUGCUGCAUGGCUGUCGUCAGCUCGUGUUGUGAAAUGUUGGGUUAAGUCCCGUAACGAGCGCAACCCUUGUCCUUAUUUGCCAGCACGUAAUGGUGGGAACUCUAAGGAGACUGCCGGUGACAAACCGGAGGAAGGUGGGGACGACGUCAAGUCAUCAUGGCCCUUACGGGUAGGGCUACACACGUGCUACAAUGGCCGGUACAAAGGGUUGCGAACUUGCGAAAGUAAGCCAAUCCCAGAAAGCCGGUCUCAGUCCGGAUCGGAGUCUGCAACUCGACUCC